rnacentral:rRNA from 1 species
CCUACGGGUGGCAGCAGUGAGGAAUAUUGGUCAAUGGACGAGAGUCUGAACCAGCCAAGUAGCGUGAAGGAUGACUGCCCUAUGGGUUGUAAACUUCUUUUAUAUAGGAAUAAAAUGUUCCACGUGUGGGCUUUUGUAUGUACCAUAUGAAUAAGGAUCGGCUAACUCCGUGCCAGCAGCCGCGGUAAUACGGAGGAUCCGAGCGUUAUCCGGAUUUAUUGGGUUUAAAGGGAGCGUAGGUGGAUUGUUAAGUCAGUUGUGAAAGUUUGCGGCUCAACCGUAAAAUUGCAGUUGAAACUGGCAGUCUUGAGUACAGUAGAGGUAGGCGGAAUUCGUGGUGUAGCGGUGAAAUGCUUAGAUAUCACGAAGAACUCCGAUUGCGAAGGCAGCUCACUGGACUGCAACUGACAUUGAGGCUCGAAAGUGUGGGUAUCAAACAGGAUUAGAUACCCUAGUAGUC